rnacentral:rRNA from 2 species
ACCGGCGAGUUAUGACAGCAUGCGAGGUUAAGCAGAAAAAAGCGGAGCCGUAGAGAAAUCGAGUCUUAAUAGGGCGUCUUAGUAUGUUGUCAUAUACCCGAAACCAUGUGAUCUAUUCAUGAGCAGGCUGAAACUUGGCUAACCCCAAGCGGAGGGCCGAACCGUAGUACGCUGAAAAGUGCCCGGAUGACUUGUGAAUAGUGGAGAAAUUCCAAUCGAACUUGGAGAUAGCUGGUUCUCCUCGAAAUAGCUUUAGGGCUAGCGUGUAGUGUUAAGUAGUGGUGGUAGAGCACUGAAUAUGGAAUGGCCUCGCCUAGGGGUACUGACUAUAAUCAAACUCCGAAUACCGCUAUGUAUUGCUAUGCAGUCGGAACCGGGGUGCUAACGUCCCGGCUCGCGAGGGCAACAACCCAGAUCGCCGGCUAAGGUCCCAAAAUCGUGUUAAGUGAGAAAGGUUGUGAGGUUUCAUAAACAACUAGGAAGUUGGCUCAGAAGCAGCCACCUUUUAAAGAGUGCGUAAUAGCUCACUAGUCAAGAGACCUUGCGCCAACAAUUUAACGGGACUAAAACACGAUACCGAAGCCGCGGGUAAUUAUUUUACGUUAGAGGAGCGUUCCUAGGGCAAUGAAGUCAGACCGUGAGGACUGGUGGAGCGCUAGGAAGUGAGAAUGCCGGU